GACGAACGCUGGCGGCGUGCCUAAUACAUGCAAGUAGAACGCACAGUUUAUACCGUAGCUUGCUACACCAUAGACUGUGAGUUGCGAACGGGUGAGUAACGCGUAGGUAACCUGCCUGGUAGCGGGGGAUAACUAUUGGAAACGAUAGCUAAUACCGCAUAAUAUUGAUUAUUGCAUGAUAAUUGAUUGAAAGGUGCAAUUGCACCACUACCAGAUGGACCUGCGUUGUAUUAGCUAGUAGGUGAGGUAACGGCUCACCUAGGCGACGAUACAUAGCCGACCUGAGAGGGUGAUCGGCCACACUGGGACUGAGACACGGCCCAGACUCCUACGGGAGGCAGCAGUAGGGAAUCUUCGGCAAUGGACGAAAGUCUGACCGAGCAACGCCGCGUGAGUGAAGAAGGUUUUCGGAUCGUAAAGCUCUGUUGUAAGAGAAGAACGGGUGUGAGA
rnacentral:rRNA from 1 species